GUGAGAAGAAGCCAUUUUUUUCAGCAGCUACAGGAGGCGAGAUACUAGCACUGGAGAAGACACCCAACGUGCACCCCAGAGUCCGGUUGCUAUGGUAAGCCCCGUGUUGGAGUGCAAGCCGUGGCGCUGCUAUGGCAACGGUUGGAAGCCUGCUCCCGGAAGUGCGUCAUCUGAGGCGGAUCCGGUCCUUCGGUGCGACUGGGAACGGUGGGCGGCGUGGAGUCCCCGGAUGGGCUAUAUUAAUGGAUGCUGCAUUUUGAAGAAUAAAGUGAAGAGGAGCCUCCCUGAGGAACUGAUCUGCCAGCAAGUCCAUCAUCGUCUCAGACCUUACAGCAACUGAGCUCCUGUGUGAUCAAUAAGUGUUAUCUAGUUUUUGGUGGAGGGAUUCACGAUGAGUCACCAGUCCCUUUGUAUAUGCUAAUCAGGUUCAGCCUUGAAGACAUCCAAAGGGCUGCCAUGAGU